CUACGGGCUGCAGCAGUGAGGAAUAUUGCGCAAUGGACGAAAGUCUGACGCAGCCAUGCCGCGUGCAGGAUGACGGCGCUAUGCGUUGUAAACUGCUUUUAUAUGCCAAGAAACCUUCGGACGUGUCCGAAGCUGACGGUAGCAUAUGAAUAAGCACCGGCUAACUCCGUGCCAGCAGCCGCGGUAAUACGGAGGGUGCAAGCGUUAUCCGGAUUUAUUGGGUUUAAAGGGUCCGUAGGCGGAUGAUUAAGUCAGUGGUGAAAGCCGGCAGCUCAACUGUCGAACUGCCAUUGAUACUGGUGAUCUUGAAUACGGUUGAAGUUGGCGGAAUAGGUCAUGUAGCGGUGAAAUGCUUAGAUAUGACCUAGAACACCGAUUGCGAAGGCAGCCAACUAAGCCGUUAUUGACGCUGAGGGACGAAAGCGUGGGGAGCGGACAGGAUUAGAUACCCCCGUAGUC
rnacentral:rRNA from 1 species